rnacentral:lncRNA from 1 species
CAAAUUUGUCAAGCUUUUUUUAUAUUUACAUUUUGUGUUUCUCUAAGAAGGCCCUUUCUACCCCAAGUCAGCAGUUUAAUUUUUCUAUAGUUUCUUCUAAUGAUUUAUAGGCAUGUAGUUUUUUUCUUUUUAGCUCAAAGAAUUAAACAUACUUCAUCAUUUAGGUUAAUUUUUUAAUUUUUUUUGUUUUAAUUAGUUGUAUAUGACAGUAGAAUGCAUUUAUGCACUUUGAUAUAUCAUACAUAAAUGGGGUAUAAUUUCUCACUUUUCUGAUUGUGCAUGCUGUAGAAUCACAUCAGUCAUGCAGUCAUGUGUAUACAUACAGUAAUAAUGUCUGUUGCAUUCUACUAUCUUUUCUAUUCCACACCCCCUCCCCUCCCUUCAUUCCUCUCUACCUAAAGUCGCUCUAUUCUUCUCUAGUGCCCCCCCCACCUUAUUGUGAAUUAGUUUAUUUUUGAUGGGACUUGAAAUAAUUAGUUCCUAUUUACUUGGGAGUUUUGCUCUGAUCUUAAGAAGUCUAAAGUCCAACUCAUUAAACAUCAUAAUACUACAUGAUUUUUAAGGAAGGACCCAAAUAGGUGAUUUCUUCUUUAACUUUAAACAAAACUUUGUCCUAGGGUAGAAUCGUAAUUGGAGGUAAUUGGUGCUUGCUUAUGAAAUAGUCAAUGAUGUAUUUGGUGGGUGGAAAUACUAAAUGAGAAGUUAACAGACGAGGAAUGGACCUUGUAAAGCAGCCUGAGAACUGGGACAUGAAAAGUGAGAGGCGGAGGCGGAGGAGGAAGACGGUGGUCUUGUCUCUGGUUUCUGGCUGGAUACUUGGGGGCCGGGAAGCACUAAGCUCCCCGCUGCAAGCUGGGAGUGAGGUGGGUAGACAUAGGCCAGCACUUCCCUGGGGGUUCACCCUGUCCAGUGGCCUUGGGAGGAGUGUGUGUGCCUGCCGAGUGUGGUCAGGAAUGUCCGUGGAGGCUUCUGCAUGCAGGCGCCCUUGCCCCUGGUUCACCACAGAGCUUCUGUGGCCACUGGCUCGCAGGUCAUGCCUGCUGUGUGCCUGGGUGAGGACUGGGCAGGUUUCCAGCCAGGGCCAUGAAAGGCAGUCCUGAGCCUCCAGUCUGCCCACAGCUGUCAGUGC